CUGGAGUCAGAGAUCGCAUUGGUCCGAGACGGCCAAUAAAAAUUAUCGUUGUUGCAGGGGCCUUUCUUAGUCAUGGGGGAAGUGAAACGUAAUGUGAAUGUAAUUGACUUAAUGGUAUCAUUACACAAAGAAAAUGUCAACGUGCCACUGCAAUGCUAAUACUGAUGCCUAUCCUAUCAUAUGGCCCAUUAGCCUCCAUCUUAUCAAUCAGAUCAAAGGCCUGCUUUGCUCCAUUGAUUGUUAGCCAUUUAAGGAUGGAGCCUGCAGCGAUAUAAGCUAUAUACAGUAGGAUAUCACAGGGUAAUUCACUAUUUCCACCACUGUCUUCAUUACUACAUUUCCACGGCCCCAGGGAAUGCGACGUCUUACAGGCAGAGUACUGGGCAGGCCGGGGAAGCUUCCAGGCGUGAAACAGCCAGCGACGAAGAUAACCAAGCUAGCUUUGAUUGCUCAGGUAACAGAGCCAGUGAAUAUGCAGUACUGCCUAUAGCCCUCCCCAGCUGCACAGGUGUUGGGUCCAGGAGGGACAUGGAUGCAUCCUUGGAAUCAUUGGGACAAUGCUCCACCUUUUGGUGGUGGUGUUUGUGUAUGUUUACACUCCAGUGCACCAAGCAUCAUGGCAGAAAGAACUGCUGCCCUUAAUUGAUUACUUAUCCACACGCAAAGUACACGCACAGGUAGAGGAUAGCUCGCUUCAAUAGCUUAUCACCGACACAUAUCAACCUACAUAUUAUGCAGGGGUUAAGCAAUAUAAUAUUUGUGAACAAUGCAAGGCAUGAUAGUCUGUCUACAUGAUGCAAAUCAUGAAGGUCCACUGAGAAAGAAAACAUAUGAUGGGGUGGCAGGUAGCAUAGUGGUUAAGAGCAUUGGACCAGAAACCAAAAGGUUGCAGGUUUGAAUCCCUGACCUGACUAGGUGAAAGAUCUGUUGAUGUGCCCUUGAGCAAAGCACUUAAUGAACAUACCGUUUUACAUGUAUAUACUGUAUUCUAGUCAAGGCUCAUCCUAUGUAUGCCUAACUACUGAUGUACACACAGUUUCUAUUCAUAUAAUGUCUAUACACACUAUCAUAUACAUAUUUAUUUAUAUUCCGGA
rnacentral:lncRNA from 1 species